rnacentral:rRNA from 1 species
AACGCUAGCUACAGGCUUAACACAUGCAAGUCGAGGGGAAACGAUAUUGGAAGAUUGCUUCCGAUAGGCGUCGACCGGCGCACGGGUGAGUAACGCGUAUCCAACCUGCCCACCACUUGGGGAUAACCUUGCGAAAGUAAGACUAAUACCCAAUGACGUCUCUAGAAGACAUCUGAAAGAGAUUAAAGAUUUAUCGGUGAUGGAUGGGGAUGCGUCUGAUUAGCUUGUUGGCGGGGUAACGGCCCACCAAGGCAACGAUCAGUAGGGGUUCUGAGAGGAAGGUCCCCCACAUUGGAACUGAGACACGGUCCAAACUCCUACGGGAGGCAGCAGUGAGGAAUAUUGGUCAAUGGACGAGAGUCUGAACCAGCCAAGUAGCGUGCAGGAAGACGGCCCUAUGGGUUGUAAACUGCUUUUAUAAGGGAAUAAAGUGAGAGUCGUGACUCUUUUUGCAUGUACCUUAUGAAUAAGGACCGGCUAAUUCCGUGCCAGCAGCCGCGGUAAUACGGAAGGUCCGGGCGUUAUCCGGAUUUAUUGGGUUUAAAGGGAGCGUAGGCCGGAGAUUAAGCGUGUUGUGAAAUGUAGAUGCUCAACAUCUGAACUGCAGCGCGAACUGGUUUCCUUGAGUACGCACAAAGUGGGCGGAAUUCGUGGUGUAGCGGUGAAAUGCUUAGAUAUCACGAAGAACUCCGAUUG